CAUGCCUACGGGACGCAGCAGUGAGGAAUAUUGGUCAAUGGGCGGGAGCCUGAACCAGCCAAGUCGCGUGAGGGAAGACGGUCCUAUGGAUUGUAAACCUCUUUAGGCGGGGAGCAAUGCCGGGCACGUGUGCCCGGAGGGAGAGUACCCGCAGAAUAAGCAUCGGCUAACUCCGUGCCAGCAGCCGCGGUAAUACGGAGGAUGCGCGCGUUAUCCGGCUUUAUUGGGUUUAAAGGGUGCGUAGGCGGCUUUUUAAGUCAGCGGUAACAUGUCCGGGCUCAACCCGGGCCGGCCGUUGGAACUGG
rnacentral:rRNA from 1 species